rnacentral:rRNA from 1 species
AGAGCGAACGCUGGCGGCAGGCCUAACACAUGCAAGUCGAGCGCCGUAGCAAUACGGAGCGGCAGACGGGAGAGUAACACGUGGGAACGUACCCUUUGGUUCGGAACAACCCAGGGAAACUUGGGCUAAUACCGAAUAAGCCCUUACGGGGAAAGAUUUAUCGCCGAAGGAUCGGCCCGCGUCUGAUUAGCUAGUUGGUGGGGUAACGGCCCACCAAGGCGACGAUCAGUAGCUGGUCUGAGAGGAUGAUCAGCCUCAUUGGGACUGAGACACGGCCCAAACUCCUACGGGAGGCAGCAGUGGGGAAUAUUGGACAAUGGGCGCAAGCCUGAUCCAGCCAUGCCGCGUGGGUGAUGAAGGCCCUAGGGUUGUAAAGCCCUUUCGGCGGGGAAGAUAAUGACGGUACCCGCAGAAGAAGCCCGGCUAACUUCGCGCCAGCAGCCGC